AUAAUUUUAUAAAAGCUGCUAACUUUUUGAUAGGAUAGU
rnacentral:tRNA from 1 species